GUUAUAAAACAAUAUGUUAAGGAGACACUAGAACUUAUUUUCCAGAUUACUUUGCGACCUGAUAUCAAGCAAGUACAGCAUUCAUAUAGUAUAGCAAGAUGUGUUCUGAGCAACAGCUGGAUUUGUGGGAAACAAAAAAAACCAAAAACAUUACAGGCCAGCACAAAGAUGUAUCAGCCUGGUGUAGCCUAGCAAAUGACAUGAGUGGCCAGGAUAGCUGGAUGUGUCUUUAAACUCCUGGAAGGGAAGCAGGGCAUGCACAUCCUACUUACAUUGCAGGAGUGGGUGCUUCCAUCACAAAGGCUGGAACUCAUGUAGCCCUGGUCUUUUCCUGGGGGACUUAGUCUAACUUUCUGUGUAGUUCCAUGUCUUACUGAAGAGCCCUUUGACUUACUGCUUCAUAGGGUAACCAGUUAAAAAAAAAAAAAAAAAAAAGGAGAGAGAGAGAGAGAGAGAAAAUGUCCAGAUCCACUCACCAAAGUUUAACAAGAAUAUUUUCAAAUCAAUGAGACUCAACAGGCAGGCUUCAGGCUAAGUUAAAACCGAUAGAUCGAUGCAGUCCACAACGCUGUAUUCAGAACAAAACAUCUACAUGGGCAGCAGUACAGUGUCUACCUAUUUCACAGCUCCUGAAAAAUGCCACAUUUCUGUGAAAGAAGAAGAGGAAAGGGAAAAAAAAGCAUCCCCUUCUUUUCACAGUCUGCAGACUCUAAAAUAGCAAGAAAAGGAACUGCAGCAGAUCUCACGAUUCCUGUUCUGAGAAUGGAAGGAGGGCAGAGACACUCCAACAUGAGUUUAUUACCUUUUGGGGAAGGGUGAAAGAUGGGAAGAAGUAUCCAAACAAAGCACUUGUGGAGACUGGAAGAGAUGACACAGACAACACGUUCAAGAGCAUGUGAGAAGGCAAGGAAAGGAAGUGACUUCGUAAGCAAGAGUGAAGCACAGCCCUUCUCUCCCAGAGAAUCACAAGAUACAUGGAACAAUUGUGGUCUAACCCUUACUGUAUCCACGCACGAGUACGUAGACAAAGAAAAAAGAUAUCUCCCAAUCUCAGGUAAGUUCAGACUUUAAGUUCUGCUUCCAUGGCUCAUCUCUUUGUUGUGAAAGUAAUUUUAAAU
rnacentral:lncRNA from 1 species